GGAGCGGUAGCGAAGUCUGGCCGUAACGCGCGUGACUCGAAAUCACGUUAUCCGCAAGGGUACGUGGGUUCAAAUCCCACCCGCUCCG
rfam:Christensenella minuta strain DSM 22607 genomic scaffold Scaffold41, whole genome shotgun sequence.